GAUGAACGCUGGCGGCGUGCCUAAUACAUGCAAGUCGAGCGAACAGACGAUGAGCUUGCUCCUCUGACGUUAGCGGCGGACGGGUGAGUAACACGUGGAUAACCUACCUAUAAGACUGGGAUAACUUCGGGAAACCGGAGCUAAUACCGGAUAAUAUAUUGAACCGCAUGGUUCAAUAGUGAAAGACGGUUUUGCUGUCACUUAUAGAUGGAUCCGCGCCGCAUUGGCUAGUUGGUAAGGUAACGGCUUACCAAGGCAACGAUGCGUAGCCGACCUGAGAGGGGGAUCGCCCACACUGGAGCUGAGCCACGGUCCUGACUCCUACGGGAGGCCGCAGUAGCGAAUCUUCCGCAAUGGGCGAAAGCCUGACGGAGCAACGCCGCGCGAGUGAUGAAGGUCUUCGGAUCGUAAAACUCUGUUAUUAGGGAAGAACAAAUGUGUACGUAACUAUGCACGUCUUGACGGUACCUAAUAAGAAAGCACCGGCUAACUACGUG
rnacentral:rRNA from 1 species